rnacentral:rRNA from 1 species
CCUACGGGCGGCAGCAGUGGGGAAUAUUGGGCAAUGGAGGAAACUCUGACCCAGCAACGCCGCGUGAAUGAUGAAGGUCUUCGGAUUGUACAGUUCUUUUCUAAGGGAAGAAGAAAGUGACGGUACCUUAGGAAUAAGCCUCGGCUAACUACGUGCCAGCAGCCGCGGUAAUACGUAGGAGGCGAGCGUUAUCCGGAAUGACUGGGCGUAAAGGGUGCGUAGGUGGGUUGGCAAGGUAGUAGCGUAACUCCAAGGCUCAACCUUGGAACUACUACUAAAACUGUUGGACUUGAGUGCAGGAGGGGUAACCGGAAUGCGUGGUGUAGCGGUGGAAUGCGUAGAUAUUAGGCAGAACACCAGUUGCGAAGGCAGGUUGCUAGACUGUAACUGACACUGAGGCACGAAAGCGUGGGGAGCAAACAGGAUUAGAUACCCGUGUAGUC